rnacentral:rRNA from 1 species
CGCUGGCGGCGUGCCUAAUACAUGCAAGUCGAGCGAAUGGAUUAAGAGCUUGCUCUUAUGAAGUUAGCGGCGGACGGGUGAGUAACACGUGGGUAACCUGCCCAUAAGACUGGGAUAACUCCGGGAAACCGGGGCUAUACCGGAUAACAUUUUGAACCGCAUGGUUCGAAAUAAAAAGGCGGCUUCGGCUGUAACUUAUGGAUGGACCCGCGUCGCAUUAGCUAGUUGGUGAAGUAACGGCUCACCAAGGCAACGAUGCGUAGCCGACCUGAGAGGGUGAUCGGCCACACUGGGACUGAGAAACGGCCAAGACUAAUUCAGGAGGCCGCCGUCUGCAAUCUUCUUGAAUGCACGAAAGUCUGACGGAGCCACGCCUCGUGAGUGAUGAAGGCUUUCGGGGGGUGCGACUCUGUUGGGAGGGAACAACAAGUGCUAGUUGAACGAGCUGGCAACUUGAUGCCACCUAAUGUGAAAGCGCUCGGCUAACUACGUGCCAGCAGCCGCGGUAAUACGUAGGUGGCAAGCGUUAUCCGGAAUUAUUGGGCGUAAAGCGCGCGCAGGUGGUUUCUUAAGUCUGAUGUGAAAGCCCACGGCUCAACCGUGGAGGGUCAUUGGAAACUGGGAGACUUGAGUGCAGAAGAGGAAAGUGGAAUUCCAUGUGUAGCAGGGAAAUGCGUAGAGAUAUGGAGGAACAGGAGUGGCGAAGGCGACAAUCUGGUCUGUAACUGACACUGAGGCGCGUUAGCGUGGGGAGCAAACAGGGUUAGAUAGGGUGGUUCUCCACGCCGUAAACGAUGAGUGCUAAGUGUUAGAGGGUUUCCGCCCUUUAGUGCUGAAGUUAACGCAUUAAGCACUCCGCCUGGGGAGUACGGCCGCAAGGCUGAAACUCAAAGGAAUUGACGGGGGCGGGCACUUGCGGUGGAGCAUGUGGAAUUUUUCGAAGCAACGCGAAGAACCUUACCAGGUCUUGACAUCCUCUGAAAACCCUAGAGAUAGGGCUUCUGGUUCGGGAGCAGAGUGACAGGUGGUGCAUCCUUGUCGUCAGCUCGUGUCGUGAGAUGUUGGGAAAAGUCCCGCUUCGAGCGCAACCCUUGAUCUUAGUUGCCAUCAUUAAGUUGGGCACUCUAAGGUG